GAUGUAGCGCCAGCAGGUCUGCGGCUCCUUAUGCCGCCCGUGAACCCUACAGACUCACCCGUGAGAAGAAGCGCAGAUCAAAUGCGGCAUGUGUCAAGGGGGGACGCGGUGGUGCAGCAGGCUUGGCUGGGCCCUGCUCCCUGGUGGGUCUGGGGCUCGACUCCCGCUUGGGGUGCCCUGAGACGAACUGGCGUCCCACCCUGGGUGUGUCCCCUGCGCCCCGCACCGCUGGGGCUCCGGCUCGCGGCGACCCCGGCUCGCGGCGACCCCACCUGGGACAAGCAGCCCCAGAUAGUGUGUGUGUGUGUGUGUGUGUGUGUGUACUAUAUCUCCAACAGUACAUGCAACGCACAUUCCUGGAGUAACUAUAUAAAUAAAAUACACACACACACACACACACACUUUCAGAACCACCUGUCCCAUACAGGGUCACAGGGAACCGGAGCCUACCCGGCAACACAGGGCAUAAGGCCGGAGGGGGAGGGGACACACCCAAGACAGGACGCCAGUCUGUCGCAAGGCACCCCAAGCAGGACUCGAACCCCAGACCCACCAGAGACCAGGACCCAGUCCAACUCACUGCGCCACCGCGCCCUCCUAUAAAUAAAAUACUAAUGAUAAUUAUUAAAUAUACAAGCACCAAUGUAUGCGAACGGACAUACCAGCAGUUCCAUUAGAACUAAUAUCUAUUUUGAUCAAAUAAUAUAAAACAUUUUGGACUGUUAGUCAUAGGGUGAUAAUUCCUUAGUUCAUGAACAGAUAAUUUACAAUUCUUGGAUGCAGCGUUCGAUAUAAAUUUAUUCUUUAUUUCUCCUGUUUGCUUCCUGCUGCUUGUUGUUGAUAACAUUUAAGCACUUUGGGGAUAUUGGGUGAGUUAGUGCCUCUGUAAUAGAUAGGAUCUCCCUGUUUUCCACAGCCCACACACCCUGAGCCGGCCCUGCAUCCUCAGACAUCGCCACUGUCGCCAGUUCUCUUUACACUCUUCAGUGUUUGCUCCUCUUGUCUUCACACCGGGUAUGGCCAACCGGCAUCUGCAGCACGGCAAGGGAUCGCCUAAUCCCCGACAAUGCCUUUGUUUUUUGUUUACAUUCUAAUAAAUAUUAUUAAGUAUUUCA
rnacentral:lncRNA from 1 species